UUGCUGGGACCUUGUGGAGUGGUCAGCUGUCCUUCCGAUUCGGAAUGUGUGCCAUUGCUAAAUGGGCCGCCAGUUUGUAUCAUCAGCGGCUGCUCCACACUUCCCGGAACUAUUUCGGACGCCUCGUUCACCGCGGUAAAGACAGUUCACAGACAGUCUGACACCAUAUCUUACCAAUGCGAUGGGGGCCUUUCUAUCUCAGGAAAUCCAAAUGUCACGUGUGCGGCUAGUGGGGAAUGGACACAACCGGGUUUCUCCUGUCAAGGAUGCCCAUCGGAAGCUCCAAGCCUUGAAAAUGGCGUGGUAACGGCAGGUAGCGCAACCAUUGGAACAGUACGCACAUAUACAUGUAGCAGUGGAUACACUUCCGGUGGAAGUAACAUCACAACCACGUGCUCUAGUAGUGUUACAUGGUCUUCAGUGGUCGGCACGUGCUCAGCAGGUUUGUUUCAGU